GCGCCCUGCCCAUCCCGGCCCACCGACCGCAAGCUCUCGCCCGGCCCUCCCGGAACCAGCUGAGCACAGCUGGACCCUGCAGCCGCCGUCGCCAGCGCCGCAGCCGCAGAAGGGUAGCCAAGAAUUGGAGUUUCUGGUUUCCAGGCUCCAAUCUUUAGAGUUUGGAUGUUGGGAAUCACUUGGCC